rnacentral:lncRNA from 1 species
GGACAUUUUUCUAAGAUAAACUGUCAGUCUUCAGAAUCACAGUAAUGCAGAUAAUUGCUUUCAAAUUAUACAUCAUUUCAAUGAUGUAUAAAAGACUGCAAGCAGUUCAAAAGGUUCCUUUGCCUGGACUGUGUAUUGCUUGUCUACUGAGAAUGGAGCUCAAGGGCCAACUCUGAGGUCCUGAAAAAUCUGUCAGGGUUUUAAAGUCUUCCCACUUUUCUUCGGAAGGUUUGCAGAUCUUUUCUGAACAGUUUUAAAGGCAAGAAAUGCUCUUUUUUUUUUCCUCUUAACUUCCCAAUACCAAUUGUCCUGUGGAAGAAAAAAUUAGAAGUAGAUUUUUUUGUGAAAUAACAUCUAAACAAUACUUUUGAAGUAGUUAGCUUCUCCUGCAGGCCAUGUUCUACUGAACAGUCCCAGCUGCAGGCAGCUAAUCAGAUAGGGCACAAUCAAAACCUUCACUACUGAAACUCUUUCUCCCUACUCCCUUCUUUGCUUUCUGUUGAACAACUUGUAGGAUUUAGUUUUAAGAAGCUGUUUCAUGUUUCCAGCUGAGCCUUCCAGAGUACAGGGGAGCCAAAAGUCCUCCAGAAAUGACUCUAUAUGUCUUAGUUGCCUGGACAAAACUCCUCCAAAACCCAGACAGGGAUGACCUCAGCACAGAACUUCUUAAAGGAAAAGUUGCUCAACGAAGUCAACAGGAAAAUUCCCAUAGACUUCAACAGAACCAGGAUUUCUCUGUUUUUCAUUGUGCUUUAGCUGAGUGGCCACAGAAAUCUUUGGCUGACAGAUUUAUUUAGAACCAGUGAGACACCUAAAUUUUAAAUCUUUGUUUUAGCUUGUCUUUUAUUUGAACGUGUGCUUUGGGAAUACAUUUAGAUAAUGUUUAUAUUUCACUAUAAAUCCUGAGAUUAAAAAAAAUAACUACUAAACCAACAUUUACCAAUUGUUCAUUUAAUGGAUUUGGGCUGAAGUAUUGAGCUUGAUGGGAAAAAAUAAAGGUUAGUUUCCUACUGAGCCCUGUUGACAUAGGUAUAGUUGGUUCUGCCUUGGGCAAUGGAAAGCACUAGAUCAUCUCUCCAAGUUCCUGUCAGCCCUGUGAUUCUUUGAUUUAACUAGUUUGCUUUUAACUUCAAUCAGCGAUAGACUUGUGGCUAAGACACAUCAGAAAAUGAAAAGAACAUGCCACAGGAAAUAAAUGUGAUUCACUUGUUUAAAUCCACUGGCUAAAAGAAGCAAAUAACAGGACUUAUAUUGGGUUUACUACGAACAUGUUUUCAGUUCCUAAGCAAGACACUGAGUGCAGUUUUAAGAUGCUCUCUUUGAUGUAAACCUCAUGCUGAGGUUUUUUUCUCCAUGUAAUGAGGAGAAGGCAUGGUAGGGCUAUGAACAAAAAGGGGCCAAUGUGACUGUGACCUGAGAAUGGGUUUUCAACCUGCCAGAAUUGCCUGGGAUUAGUAAAGCAGUCAUCUUCCUUUAGUUGCUUUCUGGCUGACAUUUCUUCAAAUACUCUCUGAAGAAUUCAAAUAUUGAGACAAUUUUAAAAAGGCUUUGCACAACAGUAGGAAACAAAUAUGCUGUUGUUUUUAAUAAGUCUUUAAGGCUCUUUAAACAAUAAAAUAAUCUGAAAAAGCUACUUAAAGCUUGCGAUUUAGAUGUGCUGUGGCUCUAAUUGGAUCAAGCUUUAAAGUGAAAAGAACCAACUCCCACAUCACUGAAUGGGAAUCAUUGCAGCAACUUUAGGGCCUGACAGAUCUGCCUCUCAGACUACUCUGCAGGGACAGCUACUCUCUUGUUUUAUUUGACCUCUUGUUUAUUCCUUUUGAAAACACACAAAAGAUAACAUCUAAAAACAAAAUUAAAUACUAGUAAUAAAGGAAGUGCCCACCCUGUCAAUUUGUUUUAAUUUAAAACAUUAGUUAAAAAACAGCUUAUUGUCCUCUAGAUGUCAAUCCAAGGAAAGAAAGAUAGCUUUUCCAAAAGAUCCCUCCUUUAGAAAGCAAGGGACAGUGGAGAAAAAGGAGAA